GCAAGAAGAGACAGUAAAGUAAAUGUCAGAGAAUCUUGUUCGUGAGAGGCCGGCCUGGCUACAUGAGGAUAAAGUCCAGUGCCUCAAUCAAUUCUACUGCAUAAAAAAUGAAAAGGAUCAUUAAAUUACCAAGAGUAGGCAUCAAAAUAGACAGCGCUAAGGUGCCAGCAAUCUUGAGGGGCAAUCCGGUCUUGAUCAUGUCCGGAAUCUCAAUAUGUCCGGUUGUAAAACCCACAAUGUUUGAAGGAGUUCCUGUUGGGAGCAAGAAAGCAAACUGUGCUCCAAUGGCACCUGGCACCAUGAGGAGGAGUGGGUGCAAAUGCAUCGUCUUUGCAAUUUGGAUCAGGAGUGGGACCACAAGGGUCGUGGUGGAGUUAUUAGAAGUGAAUUCGGUGAUUGCCCCGCUAAUCAGGCAAACAAUUGGAGCAAUGGCCAAGUAUGGGGCAGCCUCCAAGAAAUCCAGAGCCUUGGAUAAGAUGUCUGCCAGCCCGCUUGACCUCACUCCAUUAGCUAUUGCAAAACCUGCCCCUAAGAGUAGUACGAUGUUCCAUGGCAGCUUCUUGCAUUUGUUCCAGUCCAUUAAUCUCUCUCCCUUCUGCUUCUUGUUUGGAAUUAUGAACAACAGGGUUGCCAUCAUCACCUACGCACGCAUCGCAGACCAAGCGUUUAAAGCUAUCUAAACAGAAACUACUACUUUAAUAAAUAUGGCUGGCAAGAAGCCAAGAAGCAUCAAGGUGGGAUAACACUUACACUAACAGUUCCAUCACCAGCGCGCCCCUGGAAUAGAGCGCCCCAUCCGGGAGUAUCAUCUGUGAUGCUUCUCGUCAUCCAUAACAGUAUCAAUAUCUAACAGUAACAACUAGCCCAAAAUCAGAAAUCAAGUAGCUCAACAUUUGAUCACUAAUUAAAUCCAGACUAGACUUACAGAAAACACGGCUAGAACCAUCUUUUCAGCAAAAGCCAUUGGACCUGCACAGUAGAUCAGAUGAAACUUUAGACUUGUAAUCAUAAAUAAAAAUUGAAAGGGCUUUCUUCUUUUGGAAAAGAAAAAAAAAAAAGAAGAAGAAGAAGAAAGAAACGAUCUGCUCUUGAGCAGAAUAGGAAGCUGUAAAAGUCCCGGGCUUACCAAGCAAGUCAAGCUCCCUUCUUAAGUGGGAUUUAUCGAGAUAGGCUGAGAGAGCUUGGCCGGAGCUCUUCCUGCAGUACAACAAGCAAAGUAUAGCCCACAAAACAAAGAAAAUGAGCAAAGCCAGCGGGAAGCCGAAGAAGAACCAGGUACUGAAGCUGAUGGGGUCGGCCUCGGGGAAAUAACUCCUCCACAUCCCCACCAAUAUGAGGUUGACACCUGUCCCGGUGAGCGUGCUCAUCCCCCCCACGGCGGCGGAGUAAAUUACACCCAGCACGACAGCCUUGCAGAAAUUAGUGACUUCGUUGGACCGAGUGGGGCCCGACGGAAACCUGUGCAAAAUUCCAGUAGCCACGGGCAUCAUCAUCACCGCCGCUGCCACGUUGUGCAUCCACAUGCUCACAAACGCUGUCGUGGCACAAAUCCCCAGCAGAAGUAACGGUGGAUUCAAGGGAUCACCACAAAAUACCAGAGUUAUCUGCAUAUGGACCCCCAAAUAAUGCAAGUCAAGAUUAAAAAAAAAUCACCCAAAAUGUUCAUCAUCAUCUUUUUUUCCUUUUUUUUUGGGGGACGCGGGGGGGGGGGGGGGCGAGGUAAGGCAGGACAACAUGGUACUGACUAGCUAGCUAGCAGUUUUGGUCCUGUGAUGAUGAUGGAUGGACGUAGGUUGAUGAGUCAAAAGAUGGGAGGGGACAAUUAGGUUAAUACAACAGUACCUGCAAGAAGAGACAGUAAAGUAAAUGUCAGAGAAUCUUGUUCGUGAGAGGCCGGCCUGGCUACAUGAGGAUAAAGUCCAGUGCCUCAAUCAAUUCUACUGCAUAAAAAAUGAAAAGGAUCAUUAAAUUACCAAGAGUAGGCAUCAAAAUAGACAGCGCUAAGGUGCCAGCAAUCUUGAGGGGCAAUCCGGUCUUGAUCAUGUCCGGAAUCUCAAUAUGUCCGGUUGUAAAACCCACAAUGUUUGAAGGAGUUCCUGUUGGGAGCAAGAAAGCAAACUGUGCUCCAAUGGCACCUGGCACCAUGAGGAGGAGUGGGUGCAAAUGCAUCGUCUUUGCA
rnacentral:lncRNA from 1 species